CUGGCGGCAGGCCUAACACAUGCAAGUCGAGCGCUCACUUCGGUGGGAGCGGCGGACGGGUUAGUAACGCGUGGGAAUAUGCCCGGUACUAAGGAAUAGCCUUUGGAAACGAAGAGUAAUACCUUAUACGCCCUUCGGGGGAAAGAUUUAUCGGUAUCGGAUUAGCCCGCGUAAGAUUAGAUAGUUGGUGGGGUAAUGGCCUACCAAGUCUACGAUCUUUAGCUGGUUUUAGAGGAUGAUCAGCAACACUGGGACUGAGACACGGCCCAGACUCCUACGGGAGGCAGCAGUGGGGAAUCUUAGACAAUGGGCGCAAGCCUGAUCUAGCCAUGCCGCGUGAGUGAAGAAGGCCUUAGGGUCGUAAAACUCUUUCGCCAGAGAUGAUAAUGACAGUAUCUGGUAAAGAAACCCCGGCUAACUCCGUGCCAGCAGCCGCGGUAAUACGGAGGGGGUUAGCGUUGUUCGGAAUUACUGGGCGUAAAGCGCACGUAGGCGGACUGGAAAGUUGGGGGUGAAAUCCCGGGGCUCAACCUCGGAACUGCCUCCAAAACUAUCAGUCUAGAGUUCGAGAGAGGUGAGUGGAAUUCCAAGUGUAGAGGUGAAAUUCGUAGAUAUUUGGAGGAACACCAGUGGCGAAGGCGGCUCACUGGCUCGAUACUGACGCUGAGGUGCGAAAGUGUGGGGAGCAAACAGGAUUAGAUACCCUGGUAGUCCACACCGUAAACGAUGAAUGCCAGUCGUCGGCAAGUAUACUUGUCGGUGACACACCUAACGGAUUAAGCAUUCCGCCUGGGGAGUACGGUCGCAAGAUUAAAACUCAAAGGAAUUGACGGGGGCCCGCACAAGCGGUGGAGCAUGUGGUUUAAUUCGAAGC
rnacentral:rRNA from 1 species